AUAACGACUCUCAGCAACGGAUAUCUUGGCUCUUUGCAACGAGUGAAGAACGCAGCGAAAAUGCGAUACCUAGUGUGAAUUGCAGAAUUCCGCGAAUCAUCGAGUCUUUGAACGCAAGUUGCGCCCGAGGCUUGUCCCGAGGGCAUGCCUGCCUGAGCGUCACC
rnacentral:rRNA from 1 species